GUAGUAAGUCUCACGAGAUCUGAUGGUUUUAUAAAUGGGAGAUCCCCUGCACAAGCUCUCUUGCCUCCUGCCAUGUAAUAACUGUAGAGACAGUACCUUGUGCCCAGCUUAUGCCACCUGCACCAACACAGUGGACAGUUACUAUUGUGCUUGCAAACAAGGUUUCCUGUCCAGCAAUGGACAAAAUCACUUCAAGGGUCCAGGAGUGCAAUGCAAAGAUAUUGAUGAAUGUUCUCAAAGCCCCCAGCCCUGUGGUCCUAACUCAUCCUGUGAAAACCUGUCGGGGAGGUACAAGUGCAGCUGUUUAGAUGGUUUCUCUUCUCCCACUGGAAAUGACUGGAUCCCAGGAAAGCCGGGCAAUUUCUCCUGUACUGAUAUCAAUGAGUGCCUCACCAGCACGGUCUGCCCUGAGCAUUCUGACUGUGUCAACUCCAUGGGAAGCUACAAUUGCAGCUGUCAAGUUGGAUUCAUCUCUAGAAACUCCACCUGUGAAGAUGUGGAUGAAUGUGCAGAUCCAAGAGCUUGCCCAGAGCAUGCAACUUGUAAUAACACUGUUGGAAACUACUCUUGUUUCU
rnacentral:sRNA from 1 species